AACGCCCCGCAAGGGGAGUGGCAGACGGGUGAGUAACGCGUGGGAAUCUACCUAGUUCUACGGAACAACAGUUGGAAACGACUGCUAAUACCGUAUACGCCCUACGGGGGAAAGAUUUAUCGGAAUUAGAUGAGCCCGCGUAAGAUUAGCUAGUUGGUGGGGUAAUGGCCUACCAAGGCGACGAUCUUUAGCUGGUCUGAGAGGAUGAUCAGCCACACUGGGACUGAGACACGGCCCAGACUCCUACGGGAGGCAGCAGUGGGGAAUAUUGGACAAUGGGCGCAAGCCUGAUCCAGCCAUGCCGCGUGAGUGAUGAAGGCCUUAGGGUUGUAAAGCUCUUUCACCGAUGAAGAUAAUGACGGUAGUCGGAGAAGAAGCCCCGGCUAACUUCGUGCCAGCAGCCGCGGUAAUACGAAGGGGGCUAGCGUUGUUCGGAUUUACUGGGCGUAAAGCGCACGUAGGCGGUUUGUUAAGUCAGAGGUGAAAUCCCGGAGCUCAACUCCGGAACUGCCUUUGAUACUGGCAAGCUAGAGUCCGGAAGAGGUAAGUGGAACUCCUAGUGUAGAGGUGGAAUUCGUAGAUAUUAGGAAGAACACCAGUGGCGAAGGCGGCUUACUGGUCCG
rnacentral:rRNA from 1 species